rnacentral:pre_miRNA from 1 species
CGGGCAUCAGUGGGGUCCCUCGGCCUGGCCUGUGCCCUCUUGCAAACCAGGACCCCUGCAGGCCAGGCCGAGGGACCCCACUGGUGCAUG